rnacentral:rRNA from 1 species
GGGGAAUAUUGGACAAUGGGCGCAAGCCUGAUCCAGCCAUGCCGCGUGAGUGAUGAAGGCCUUAGGGUUGUAAAGCUCUUUCGCCGAGGACGAUAAUGACGGUACUCGGAUAAGAAGCCCCGGCUAACUUCGUGCCAGCAGCCGCGGUAAUACGAAGGGGGCUAGCGUUGUUCGGAAUUACUGGGCGUAAAGCGUAUGCAGGCGGAUCUUUAAGUCAGGGGUGAAAUCCCGAGGCUCAACCUCGGAACUGCCUUUGAUACUGGAGAUCUUGAGUCCGGGAGAGGUUAGUGGAACUGCGAGUGUAGAGGUGAAAUUCGUAGAUAUUCGCAAGAACACCAGUGGCGAAGGCGGCUAACUGGCCCGGUACUGACGCUGAGAUACGAAAGCGUGGGGAGCAAAC